rnacentral:rRNA from 1 species
GAUGAACGCUGGCGGCGUGCUUAACACAUGCAAGUCGAACGGAAAGGCCAGUGCUUGCACUGGUACUCGAGUGGCGAACGGGUGAGUAACACGUGGGUGAUCUGCCCUGCACUUCGGGAUAAGCCUGGGAAACUGGGUCUAAUACCGGAUAGGACAAUGGUUUGGAUGCCGUUGUGGAAAGUUUUUUCGGUGUGGGAUGAGCUCGCGGCCUAUCAGCUUGUUGGUGGGGUAAUGGCCUACCAAGGCGUCGACGGGUAGCCGGCCUGAGAGGGUGUACGGCCACAUUGGGACUGAGAUGCGGCCCAGACUCCUACGGGAGGCAGCAGUGGGGAAUAUUGCACAAUGGGCGCAAGCCUGAUGCAGCGACGCCGCGUGGGGGAUGACGGCCUUCGGGUUGUAAACUCCUUUCGCUAGGGACGAAGCGUAUUUGUGACGGUACCUGGAGAAGAAGCACCGGCUAACUACGUG